GCUCCCGCUGAACCGGAUAUGAUUCUUUCUCCGUUUCACUGUUGUCGUUGCACGGCCAAUGGCGGGCGGUGCCUGAGCAUUUAUCUGAAAAACGUACGUUUCGCUCAAAUAUACUUGAAUAUCGAUCGGCCAUUUAAAGCUUUUAGAUCGCACGUGUGUUUUGGCCUAUCAGCAUGGAUGUGAAUUUGACCAUCUCUCUGAUGCGGGGCCAGAUGGGCGCUGUUAUUGAGAAAGCCGUGAACGUCGCAGUGGAGACCGUGUUAGGAGAAAUGAUCCGGGUGGUCGGGCUCAAAUUUGAGGAGAUCAAACGGGAGAUGACAGCUAAAGAGAAGGAGAAUGAGAACAUCAAGAGGAUGUUGGAGACGUCCCGCUGUCAGAUGAAAACUAUGCGCAAGUACAUCAGCGUCCUGUCUGUUAAAGAGCCCAACCACAGACUGUAUCAGGGAGAUGGAGACAUGGCAACAACAUCCACAGGGAUGCACUGCAGAAGAGGGCCGAUGAGCAAUCCCCCAAACCCCUGUCCCUGUCCCAGACCUAGAUUCUCUGAGCCAGCCCCUGUAACGUUAGCUGGACCCUCAUGGGUGAGACAGCAGAUGCACAUGUCCAAAGAAACAUUAAGACGUGAGAAUCACAUUCCUGAGGUCAAUCUUGAAGAGACCCAUGGAUCAACAGUUCAUAAAGUUGAGAACUCAAGCUCUCAUCUGGUGGACAGUCAGGCGCUUCUCUCUGAGACCAUUGAUCCAAUCUGGGGUCAGGACCCUCUCGCCUCUGCAGAGACUGGACACACAGACAUGCUGGACAGCAACGUCCUCUCUGCACCCAUGAUGGCAGAUGAAAAUGUGUCAUCCCAAACGACAAGCACAUUGACCUUUGGAGCACCAUCACUUAAAAUCAAACAGGAGGAGGCGGAGGUUGAAAUAGUCUGUGUGAAAGAUGAACCCACAGAAGCUGGAAGCAUACAUACAUUUGAAUAUUCCAACGCUGAACUUCACCAGCCAGCGGAAGAACCAGAGCUCGGGGUCUCACUAGAUCUACGCGCAUCAUUUCAAGCUCUUCAGAGUUCAAGCACUUCAGCAGACCUUGCAAUCCCAGCAUUCAUCAGUGUGGACCCAACUACCUAUGACGACUCUCAGCUGUCAGUGGCAGGGGUCCAAAAGCAGGUGCGUCCGAGACGUAAGGACCUGAAUCUGUAUGAAGAAUACAAACUCAGCCGGACUCUGAGAGGCCGCAACACGAACCGAGGCCGUAGUACAAACCGACGGCGUGAGCUGGAGCAGACUCUACCGCAGGCUCUACUUGCAGACUUGGUAAGGGAACGAAGGGAAAAGACUCGUCUUCGAGUGGCCCGCUGGCGUGCCAAACGCAAAUUACAAGCCUGUCUGAUGGCCUCGCAGGCUGCGCAGUUUAGCGGUGCUCCUGUGCAGAGUUCACCUGCCCAGCGUGGCGGCCUGAUCUCCUCACGCAGGCGAGGCGGAGUGAUGGCGCAGCGCGGUGGGCUUGGAAUGAGAAGGGGACUGUCAGAGACUGGCACAUAUAACCUGCUGCUGCAGCUGGGACCCAGUCCUACUCAAUCAGCUGCGACACACGGCAUGAAUGAGGGUCUGAUGCCGUCUGGACCCUCAGCGCUAUCACAGCACAGAACCACUGCACCGAGAUCAACUUAUCAAUGAUGCAGUUUACUAAGUAUUGGCGCGCUGGGUUGUUGUCAUCUUAAUGGUUAACCAUUAUAUUUUCCGAAGUGAGGCACUUACACUAUAAACUUACACUGAUCUGUGCAAACCUCAUAUACAACAAAAAUUGGACUAUUCAUUAAAGGUGCUGUAUGUAGGAUUGACACCGAGUGGUUGAACUAGGUAUUGCAGUCCAAAUUCAAAAUAUCGGAGAGGGUUUUUUUCACCCGGCCCCUCCUCCUCAGACUUGACGCACACGCAGUUUGCCAGAUUGACGACACCAACAGGAGCGAGCACACUUGACGAUGACUGAAAUGAAAUGUGCUGUGUUUUCCGCCAACUGGCAACCUGGGGUCCCGAAAUACAAUUGGGUAAACUUGCAGUGGGCGGGUUUCACAAACCAAAACAGAGACCGACAUUACGGCCCGGAACGCACAUUUCCAAAGGAGAAUAACUUACUGUAGCAUUGUUUUUCAGAUAAACAAGUAUGUUAACUUAGCAUGUUUCUUAAAUAUCUGCAAACAUAUUAUGGUAUUUUUAUGCUUUAGUAGAGUCAAAAACUUACAUACAGCACCUUUAAUGUUUACUUUGGCAUAGGGCUGGGCGAUUUUUCCGAAUUUAUCGAUUAAUUUGAAUUUAAUGUUUUGUCACGAUUUUUGUUUUUUAUAUAAAUCUCGAUUUUGAAUAGAAAUAUUACCAAACGUGUGAUGCACUCUGUGAAGGACCGUAAGCCAAACAGUCAAGAGCGCAAGUCAAAUGCAUCCAUGUUUACAUAGAAAAACCAUGGAAAAGCAGUGCAAUCGAAUUAAAAACCUGUAAAGAACUACAACUGUAUGUCUGAUAUUUCAUGUUUGCAUCAUGGUGACAGGCUGAAAGCUGCUGUUCAUUGUUUUUACAGAACAUUUAUAGUUAAUAACAGUCUACAGGUGUUAUACCUUCAGUCAUUUUUUGACUUACGAGAAUUUUAAAGCAUAUUUCCUUGUAUUAUUUCUGAACAUUAUAAUAUGUAUGUUAUAUAUGUAAUAUGUAAGACAAGUUUGUCCGAGAUAUAGUUGUCGUUCAUGAAUCUUUUCUGCAAAGAUAUUUAAAAAGCGAUUUAACAUGUUGAUACAUACGUCAUGUGUGGUGCACUUUGAAUAGAAUUUUCUUUAACUAGAGGGUUAAUAAAGAAAAAGUUACUUGAAUCGAGAAUCGGUCAAACGUUCUGAAAAAAUCUAAUUUGAUUUGGGGGUUUUUUGUGCAUGUGAAUCACCCAGCCCUACUUUUACCUUUGCAAACUGAAUCCAAAUUAAACUGUUUGGUUAUUUAGUAACAUUAAACAACUGAAAUUGCACUAUAACAUGCAUUCUAAAGUCAACUGCGCUGACUAAUGUAAACUAAAAGGUACAAAAAUAUUAUUCAACGAUAUUGUGGUCAUCGGUGAAGAAACUGUGCUCUGCACACAGCGGAAACUGAUAUUUGUCCUAGAAAACAGUGUUAGCAUGACUGCCCUGGUUAUGUUGGCUCACGUGCUUGAAAUGUUUUUCAUCUGUAUGUUUGACUGCAGUGUUCAGGGUGGUUUGAAAUACUAAUUUGGUUCAUUCAUUAAAAUAUACCUUCAUGUUCAUUUUUGUAGCCUAAAUUUUUCUAGCAAACGGCAUUGUUGGAAAUAACCAUGCUGACAUUAAAUGUGUUUGCCAGUGCUUUCUGAAUGAGCACACAUUGCAAAAUUGCUGUGUUAAGCUGAUAUUUGUGUUUGAUUGUGAGCAGGC
rnacentral:lncRNA from 1 species